rnacentral:rRNA from 1 species
CCUACGGGAGGCAGCAGUGGGGAAUUUUGGACAAUGGGCGCAAGCCUGAUCCAGCAAUGCCGCGUGAGUGAAGAAGGCCUUCGGGUUGUAAAGCUCUUUUGUCAGGGAAGAAAAGGUUGCGAAUAAUACUCGCAGCUCAUGACGGUACCUGAAGAAUAAGCACCGGCUAACUACGUGCCAGCAGCCGCGGUAAUACGUAGGGUGCAAGCGUUAAUCGGAAUUACUGGGCGUAAAGCGUGCGCAGGCGGUUUUGUAAGUCUGUUGUGAAAUCCCCGGGCUCAACCUGGGAAUGGCAAUGGAGACUGCAAGGCUAGAGUUUGGCAGAGGGGGGUAGAAUUCCACGUGUAGCAGUGAAAUGCGUAGAUAUGUGGAGGAACACCGAUGGCGAAGGCAGCCCCCUGGGUCAAAACUGACGCUCAUGCACGAAAGCGUGGGGAGCAAACAGGAUUAGAUACCCUGGUAGUCCACGCCCUAAACGAUGUCUACUAGUUGUCGGGUCUUAAUUGACUUGGUAACGCAGCUAACGCGUGAAGUAGACCGCCUGGGGAGUACGGUCGCAAGAUUAAAACUCAAAUGAAUUGACGG